rnacentral:rRNA from 1 species
UACGGAGGGUGCAAGCGUUAUCCGGAUUUACUGGGCUUAAAGGGUGCGCAGGCGGAUAUGUAAGUCAGUGGUGAAAUCUCUAGGCUUAACCUGGAAAUUGCCGUUGAUACUAUAUAUCUUGAAUGUUGUGGAGGUAAGCGGAAUAUGUCAUGUAGCGGUGAAAUGCUUAGAUAUGACAUAGAACACCUAUUGCGAAGGCAGCUUACUACGCAGAUAUUGACGCUCAUGCACGAAAGCGUGGGGAUCAAACAGG